rnacentral:rRNA from 1 species
UAUGUGAUCGUCUCUCGCAUAUCAAUAAGCGGAGGAAAAGAAACUAACAAGGAUUCCCCUAGUAACGGCGAGUGAAGCGGGAAGAGCUCAAAUUUGAAAUCUUAAAGGGUUUCCCUUUACGAAUUGUAGUUUAAAGAAGUGUUUUCUGUUGAGGUUUUGGUAAAAGUUCUUUGGAAUAGGACAUCAUAGAGGGUGAGAAUCCCGUAUUUGGCCUUUACUUUCAACUUUGUGACACACUUUCAAAGAGUCGGAUUGUUUGGGAAUGCAGUCCAAAAUGGGUGGUAAAUUUCAUCUAAAGCUAAAUAUUGGCGAGAGACCGAUAGCGAACAAGUACCGUGAGGGAAAGAUGAAAAGAACUUUGAAAAGAGAGUUAAACAGUACGUGAAAUUGUCAAAAGGGAAGCGUUUGACACCAGUGUUGUUUUUCUGAAAAUCAAUUAAAGAACUGUUUAUGCUAAGUUGUUUAGACUUUAUCAGCUAUCUGUUUAGUUUUGAGCUUUUCUUUAAUGCACUUUUCAGUUAACAAGUCAACAUCAAUUUCUUUUGCUGUAAAAAAGCUUGAGGAAGGUGGCUUGAGAUUCGUCUUAAGUGUUUAUAGCCUCUUGCCUAUGCAGUCGGAGAGAUUGAGGUCUGCAGCGUAGAUCCUUCGGGGCUAAAUGCAUUUGUGCUAAGUUAUAGCAUUUUAUAGACAACUUGUUGACUAUGAUUUGUCUUGUAGCUUACUCGCUUAUGUUAUUUUACCUACGCUUAGGAUGUUGACACACGCGCGUGCUCG